rnacentral:snoRNA from 1 species
UGGUCUACUCUAAUGCCUGGCAUUGUAAUACCGAAAAUGUCUGGCCUCGCUUGUAGACCAGAUCACGGAACUUGUUCUGCACUGGAAUUUAAAAAGGCAGUGGGCCUUCCGUCCGCUCGUUGCCUGUAAUUUAGUGAUACA